rnacentral:rRNA from 1 species
AGUUCGAUCAUGGCUCAGAUUGAACGCUGGCGGGAUGCUUUACACAUGCAAGUCGAACGGCAGCACGGCCUCGGUCUGCGGCGAGUGGCGAACGGGUGAGUAAUGUAUCGGAACGUGCCUAGUAGCGGGGAUAACUACGCGAAAGCGUAGCUAAUACCGCAUACGCCCUUCGGGGGAAAGCGGGGGGACCUUCGGGCCUCGCACUAUUAGAGCGGCCGAUAUCGGAUUAGCUAGUUGGUGGGGUAACGGCUCACCAAGGCGACGAUCCGUGUAGCUGGUUUGAGAGGACGACCAGCCACACUGGGACUGAGACACGGCCCAGACUCCUACGGGAGGCAGCAGUGGGGGAAUUUUGACAAUGGGGAAACUUCGAUCCAGCCAUCCCGCGUGUGCGAUGAAGGCCUUCGGGUUGUAAAGCACUUUGGCAGGAAAAACGGCACGGGAUAAUACCCCGUGCAACUGACGGUACCUGCAGAAUAAGCACUGGCUAACUACGUGCCAGCAGCCGCGGUAAUACGUAGGGUGCAAGCGUUAAUCGGAAUUACUGGGCGUAAAGCGUGCGCAGGCGGUUCGGAAAAGAAAGAUGAAACUUCAGAGCUUAACUUUGAACUGCAUUUUUAACUACCGAGCUAGAGUGUACUGAGGAGGUGGAAUCGGCGUGUAGCAGUGAAAAUGCGUAGAUAUGCGGAGGAACACCGAUGUGGCGAAGGCAGCUUCCUGAUAACACUGACGCCUCAUGCACGAAAGCGUGGGAGCAAACAGGAUUAGAUACCCUGGUAGUCCACGCCCUAAACGAUGUCACAACUAGCUGUUGGGGCCUUCGGGCCUUGGUAGCGCAGCUAACGCGUGAAGUUGACCGCCUGGGUAGCACGGUCAUUCGUGCAAGAUUAAAACUCAAAGGAAUUGACGGGGACCCGCACAAGCGGUGAUGAUGUAGAUUAAUUCGAUGCAACGCGAAAACCUUACCUACCCUUGACAUGUCUGGAACCUGUGGAAGAGAUUUGGGAGUGCUCGCAAGAGAACCCGGAACACAGGUGCUGCAUGGCUGUCGUCAGCUCGUGUCGUGAGAUGUUAAUGGAAACCCGCAACGAGCGCAACCCUUGUCAUUAGUUGCUGAAAGGGCACUCCUUAAUGAGACUGCCGGUGACAAACCGGAGGAAGGUGGGGAUGACGUCAAGUCCGCGGCCCUUAUGGGUAGGGCUUCACACGUCAUACAAUGGUCGGGACAGAGGGUCGCUAACCCGCGAGGGGGAGCCAAUCCCAGAAACCCGAUCGUAGUCCGAUCGCAGUCUGCAACUCGACUGCGUGAAGCCGGAAUCGCUAGGCAAUCUCCAGACCAGCAUGUCGCGGUGAAUACGUUCCCGGGUCUUGUACACACCGCCCGUCACACCAUGGGAGUGGGUUUUACCAGAAGUAGUUAGCCUAACCGUAAGGAGGGCGAUUACCACGGUAGGAUUCAUGACUGGGGUGAAGUUUGUAACAAGGUAG